GACGAACGCUGGCGGCGUGCUUAACACAUGCAAGUCGAACGGAAAGGCCCUGCUUUUGUGGGGUGCUCGAGUGGCGAACGGGUGAGUAACACGUGAGUAACCUGCCCUUGACUUUGGGAUAACUUCAGGAAACUGGGGCUAAUACCGGAUAGGAGCUCCUGCUGCAUGGUGGGGGUUGGAAAGUUUCGGCGGUUGGGGAUGGACUCGCGGCUUAUCAGCUUGUUGGUGGGGUAGUGGCUUACCAAGGCUUUGACGGGUAGCCGGCCUGAGAGGGUGACCGGCCACAUUGGGACUGAGGUACGGCCCAGACUCCUACGGGAGGCAGCAGUGGGGAAUAUUGCACAAUGGGCGGAAGCCUGAUGCAGCAACGCCGCGUGCGGGAUGACGGACUUCGGGUUGUAAACCGCUUUCGCCUGUGACGAAGCGUGAGUGACGGUAAUGGGUAAAGAAGCACCGGCUAACUACGUG
rnacentral:rRNA from 1 species